UCCCAGAUCUUAUGUGUGCUCUCAG
rnacentral:piRNA from 1 species